UACAGAGGGGGCGAGCGUUGUUCGGAAUUACUGGGCGUAAAGGGCGCGUAGGCGGCCCGCUAAGUCGAACGUGAAAUCCCCAGGCUUAACCUGGGAACUGCGUCCGAUACUGGCAGGCUUGAAUCCGGGAGAGGGAUGUGGAAUUCCAGGUGUAGCGGUGAAAUGCGUAGAUAUCAGGAGGAACACCAAUGGCGAAGGCAGCUCGCUGGAACGGUACUGACGCUGAGGCGCGAAAGCGUGGGGAGCAAACAGG
rnacentral:rRNA from 1 species